rnacentral:rRNA from 1 species
CCUACGGGAGACAGCAGUGAGGAAUAUUGGUCAAUGGGCUCGCGCCUGAACCAGCCAAGUAGCGUGAAGGCUGACUGCCCUACGGGUUGUAAACUUCUUUUAUAAAGGAAUAAAGUGAGGCACGUGUGCCUUUUUGUAUGUCCUUUCUGGAUAAGGCUCGGCUAACUCCGUGCCAGAGGCCGCGGUAAUACGGAGGAUCCGCGCGUUUUCCGGAUUUAUUGGGUUUAAAGGGAGCGUAGAUGGGUUGUUAAGUCAGUUGUGAAAGUUUGAGGCUCAACCAUAAAAUUGCAAUGGAUACUGGCAGCCUUGAGUACAGGUGAGGUAGGCGGAAGGCGUGGUGUAGCGGUGAAAUGCUUAGAUAUCACGAAGAACUCCGAUUGCGAAGGCAGCCUACUAAACUGCCACUGACAUUGAUGCUCGAAAGUGUGGGUAUCAAACAGGAUUAGAUACCCUAGUAGUC